rnacentral:lncRNA from 1 species
AAGAACUGUGGUAUGUGUCGUCACUAACUGUGGCAAUCCUAAUACGGCACGUUUCCUCUAAGGGUGGGCGAAUAUCUUAGCUGUGUUAUAAGCGCCAGCGUAUGAAUAGGGCGCUCUUCUACCGUAUCAAUGUAAACGUGGCUACUGGAUUUGUUGCAUUCCCUCGAGUGCAGACAAGAGGAAUCAAAAGGCGCCUCUUUUUUUUGUUGUUGUGGACCACAACCAUUAUAAAGCCAAAAAAU